GUGAAACUCCAUCUCCCCCCCCACCCCGCAAAAAAAGACAACAGAGGCGUUCAAUCAGUCGGCCGCGCAGGGAAUCCAGGCCUCCUGCCAGCUACAGCACCAGCUGGGCAGCACCGUGCAUGAGCCGUCUUGGAAGUGGAUCUUCCAGUCCCAGUCGUGCUGGCGCCUUUGGCUGACUGGGCCUUAGCCAACCUCUGCGGGAUCCUGAAGCCGAACCACUGAGGAAGCCAACCAAUUGCAGAGGAAUAUUCUUCAGCUUCUACAAAGAAUCCGGCCUCUUAUUUUUCUUGAAACUUACAGCUGUCUUGGUGUGUCUUAUUUUUUUC
rnacentral:lncRNA from 1 species